UCGGUAGCAUACAUAGCAUACUUUAUCUCCUUCUUUGAUCGUACCCUCAAAACCAGCCUUUUCUUUGAGAUACAGCUCUAUCACAUUUGGUUGAUUGCAUGUUUUUGAGUUUGUGUGUUUAAGUGAUGACCCACAUGUUAUACAGUGUGUUUGCAUAGGGUGUAUUUUAUUAUGCAAAACCUGAUAAUGAUGUUUACAAAGCGGUGUAGGUGUAGGGACAGUUGCAUUUGGUUCAAGAUCACACUGGUUAAACACUCCGAUAAUAUCAGCAUUAUAUAAUUUUUGCCAUCGAGGUACAAAGGUGUCAUUAACAAGUACCUUGGUUAUGUCUUGACGGCAAGCAUGGCAAACAUUCAACACACAGGGGUGCAGCGACAGCAUGUACGCCAUUGCAUCUUGGUUUUUUCCAUUUUGAUGGAUUGGACAAUUUGAUGGUAUCCCGCUCAUCAAGACAAAGUUCGCACUUUUUGUCUAUGAAGGAGAUUCUUCUACGACUCGUUCUUGUGGCCAUCUCACUCUAGACACUGUAUUUAAUUAUUGUGUGAUAUUGCUGUAUUGUUUACAGUGCUUAAUUGUAUUCACUUGCUGUAGAACUUACCACUUUAAUAACUCCAGCUGGCAUUGUGGCAUUGAUUAAAAAAGCUGAUUAUUGCUGACCUCAUAUCUCAGGAUUCCUACCCCUGCACACUUUAUUUUUUUUGUAUUGUAAUUGCCUAUCAUUGAAGUUUUUGAUGGGCAAUCCACCAAGAAAUUUUC